rnacentral:rRNA from 1 species
UGGGGAAUAUUGCACAAUGGGGGAAACCCUGAUGCAGCGACGCCGCGUGAGCGAAGAAGUAUUUCGGUAUGUAAAGCUCUAUCAGCAGGGAAGAAAAUGACGGUACCUGACUAAGAAGCUCCGGCUAAAUACGUGCCAGCAGCCGCGGUAAUACGUAUGGAGCAAGCGUUAUCCGGAUUUACUGGGUGUAAAGGGAGCGUAGGCGGUACGGCAAGUCAGAAGUGAAAUGCCGGGGCUCAACCCCGGCACUGCUUUUGAAACUGUCGAACUGGAUUGCAGGAGAGGUAAGUGGAAUUCCUAGUGUAGCGGUGAAAUGCGUAGAUAUUAGGAGGAACACCAGUGGCGAAGGCGGCUUACUGGACUGUAAAUGACGCUGAGGCUCGAAAGCGUGGGGAGCAAACAGGAUUAGAUACC